CUCGAAACAUUUUAUUGCAUACAACCGACCAUUUACACUACAAAAGUAUAUUGCUUAUAGUUAUUUUCUCUCAAUACUAUAGAUCUCUGAAUAGAACAAUAAAAAUAUUACUGAAAACUCUGAUACUCAAGAACAGUAAACGCCUGUCAUUGAAAGCAUUUUUUUUUGGGGGGGGGGGAGGUGAUUAAAGAUGUAACCUCUUUUUUCCCCGCACAAAUGCAGGGUUCGUAGUCUCCAAGACCAAAAAAUUCAAAGAUUUUUUCUGCCUAGUUUCCCGUCAAAUCACAUCCUAAAAUGCGCAUUUUCGUCGAUAUUUGCGAAAAUCUUGAUUCAAUCAAUCUAUUUUAUUAGCUAGGAAAUCGUAUAAUCAAUUCCUCACUAAGAAUUUAAAGACUUUUAAAGACUUUCUUCGCUUUUUCACACAAUUUAAAGACUUGUCAAAGACCUCAAAGACCUGCAUUCCAAUUUAAAGACUUUCAAGGAUUUCAAAGACCACUACGAACCCUGAAAUGGUCAUGGAAACAAGGUCGUUGAAAAUGGCUCAAUCGAUAUACUGAAAAAUAUACUGCACACGAGGAAAAUACAGUUAAGAUAAACAAAACUAUAAAUUGAAUAGGUACCCAACGAAUAAAAAAAAUUGUUUCCAAGCCACGUUUCUCAAAGGUGCUCAAACCAGGAAACAUUCGUUUGUAUUGUAAAAGCUCACUCACGGCAAUAACAGAGUGGAGGUUCAAUCUGAGCUUCCCUUGAGUGUCAGUGCUGUUUUCAAUGAAUAGCUGGAGUGUGAGUAGUCACAUAGUAAGGUACGACACUAACCCUCCAGCUAUUCAAAAACAGCAUUGACACUCAAGGGAAGCUCAGAUUGAACCUCCACUCUUUGAGUGUGAGUGAGCUUUAGAAUACAGGCGAUUGUUUCUCGAAUGUGCGCAAACAAGAAAACAUUGUCUCUCGGAGAUGCGCAAACCAGGAAACAUCGUUUCUCGGAGGUGCAAAAUUUACAUUUGAGAAAAAAUGUUUCUUAAUUUGUUAGGAAACAGUUUUAUUUCCUGGGAAGCAAACGUUUCAGCAACAGAGAAGUACAAAAAAACAUUUGAGGAAAUUCGAAUGUUUCCGCAACCGAUGAAUGUUAGCAGAUUACUUUAAAAAGUACUUUCAAUGACAAAGCUUUUUCUGCUUUGACUUGCCAAAUAUUUUAAAGGCCGUUAAUUACCACCAGGAAGUUAUGGUUUUAGUGUUUGUAUGUGUGUCUGUCCGUGUGUUUGGAUCGGAUUAGACAAUUUCGGAUCGGAUUGUAUUUUAAACAAUGACAAUGGACCAUUUGCAUUAUAGACUAAAUUUUGAUCUAAACAAAAAUUUCAUCACAGGUUGAAAGAGCA